rnacentral:rRNA from 1 species
UACGGAGGGUGCAAGCGUUAUCCGGAUUCACUGGGUUUAAAGGGAGCGUAGGUGGGGUGGUAAGUCAGUGGGGAAAUCCCCGAGCUUAACUUGGGAACUGCCAUUGAUACUAUCAGUCUUGAAUACCGUGGAGGUCAGCGGAAUAUGUCAUGUAGCGGUGAAAUGCUUAGAUAUGACAUAGAACACCAAUUGCGAAGGCAGCUGGCUACACGAAUAUUGACACUGAGGCUCGAAAGCGUGGGGAUCAAACAGG